rnacentral:rRNA from 1 species
GACGAACGCUGGCGGCGUGCUUAACACAUGCAAGUCGAACGAUGAAGAAAAGACUCGAAGCUUCGGCAGAAAUUCAUUUCGGAUUAGUGGCAGACGGGUGAGUAACGCGUGAGCAACCUCCCUCUUACAAAGGGAUAGCCUCGGGAAACCGGGAUUAAUACCAUAUAACAUUGUGACGAAGCAUUUCGAUGCAAUCAAAGCUACGGCGGUAAGAGAUGGGCUCGCGUCCCAUUCACCGGAUGGUGAGGUAACGGCUCACCAUAGUGACGAUGGGUAACCGGGCUGAGAGGGUGGACGGUCACACUGGAACUGAGACACGGUCCAGACUCCUACGGGAGGCAGCAGUGGGGAAUAUUGCACAAUGGAGGGAAUGCUGAUGCAGCGACGCCGCGUGAGUGAUGAAGGAAGUCGUUACGUAAAACUCUGUUCUAUGGGAAGAAAAGGACUGUACCAUAGGAGAAAGCUCCGGCUAAAUACGUG